rnacentral:rRNA from 1 species
UACAGAGGGGGCAAGCGUUGUUCGGAAUUACUGGGCGUAAAGGGCGCGUAGGCGGCCUGCUAAGUCGAACGUGAAAUCCCUGGGCUCAACCCAGGAACUGCGUCCGAUACUGGUUGGCUUGAAUCCGGGAGAGGGACGUGGAAUUCCAGGUGUAGCGGUGAAAUGCGUAGAUAUCUGGAGGAACGCCGGUGGCGAAGGCGACGUCCUGGACCGGCAUUGACGCUGAGGCGCGAAAGCCAGGGGAGCAAACGGG